GACGAACGCUGGCGGCGUGCCUAAUACAUGCAAGUCGAACGCUUCUUUCCUCCCGAGUGCUUGCACUCAAUUGGAAAGAGGAGUGGCGGACGGGUGAGUAACACGUGGGUAACCUACCCAUCAGAGGGGGAUAACACUUGGAAACAGGUGCUAAUACCGCAUAACAGUUUAUGCCGCAUGGCAUAAGAGUGAAAGGCGCUUUCGGGUGUCGCUGAUGGAUGGACCCGCGGUGCAUUAGCUAGUUGGUGAGGUAACGGCUCACCAAGGCCACGAUGCAUAGCCGACCUGAGAGGGUGAUCGGCCACACUGGGACUGAGACACGGCCCAGACUCCUACGGGAGGCAGCAGUAGGGAAUCUUCGGCAAUGGACGAAAGUCUGACCGAGCAACGCCGCGUGAGUGAAGAAGGUUUUCGGAUCGUAAAACUCUGUUGUUAGAGAAGAACAAGGACGUUAGUAACUGAACGUCCCCUAACGGUAUCUAACCAGAAAGCCACGGCUAACUACGUG
rnacentral:rRNA from 1 species